UACGUAGGGUGCGAGCGUUGUCCGGAAUUACAGGGCGUAAAGAGCUCGUAGGUGGUUUGUCGCGUUGUCCGUGAAAACUCACAACUCAAUUGUGGGCGUGCGGGCGAUACGGGCAGACUGGAGUACUGCAGGGGAGACUGGAAUUCCUGGUGUAGCGGUGGAAUGCGCAGAUAUCAGGAGGAACACCGGUGGCGAAGGCGGGUCUCUGGGCAGUAACUGACGCUGAGGAGCGAAAGCGUGGGGAGCGAACAGG
rnacentral:rRNA from 1 species